CCCCCCAAAUGCAGGCCGCCGUCUGAGCGUCCCCGCUCUGCUGCCUGCCUGCAUGAAGGUUAGAAUGCCUGAGCGACCUGGGCCUUAUCCCGCUAGGAUCCGGUUCAGCUUCCUCCUGCCGUUGGCUGGGCCUGCACUCGUUCUCUGUUCGCCCUUGUACAGGCACAUAAACGUACACACACACACCCCGUGGUGUCUCACGGGCAGAACUCAGGAGCCGACUCCACAACCACAAGCCAGACCACGACAGUGAACCGUACCACCCAGAAGCCAUCUGGGUGGAGGAGGCCAGCGGAGUCUAUUACGCCAUUUCCUCUGCGGUGUCUCAGACCCAGGAGACAGGAUGCAGAGCGCCGUUGGGUUGCUGCAACGUGGAAAACCCAGAGAAGAAACCAAAUCCCCGAUGCCCACAGCGAACGGGGGCCCCUUGUGCUCCAUGGCAAUGCCGAGAAGCCACCGCCCACCCUGGCAGACAAGCCUGUGGUCUGCCGCUGACCGGGCAGCCCCUCCUCGAAGGGAUCGAGCCAGGCUCUCUGUGGGCAGCGGGAAAACUGACUGCACACAACUGCAAACUUCCGGGGAGUGGUGUGGGUGGAUGAGAAAGGCAUUUCCUGCCCAGGGAACCCAGGAUGGAGGGAGCCAAAGGCCUAGGGCCUUGUAGUCACCGAUACUUCCUGGGCAUUGAACAGACACUCCACCGUGACACGCUGAGGCUCAGAGCACACAGUACUUUUCCUCAUCUGUGAAAUGGCACCCGGGUUGUUGUGAGGAUUCAGGGAGUUAACACCUGGAAACCAAGUAGAGCAGUGUGUUCUCACCACAUCAGCUAGGAGGCAGCUACCCGCUUUCCAUACAAGGUUCAUUUUACAUUUUCUUCAAGAGUCUUGUGCCUCCUGGUAAGUACACUGGUUUGUUUUCACAGUACUCUCCAUGACCACGGACGGUCCUUAUUGCUGGGGGAGUGUGUCCACACCGGGGGAGGGGGACACCGAGGAAUCGGGGACCCAGGCGCAAAGCCUGGGGUGGGUCUGUGCUCCUGACACGAGACAGGCGGCCAAGGGGCCAGACCCAAGCCAAGUCCAGCAUCCUGGGCUGGACCCACAGCCUCUCCAGGUCUUCAGAAAGGCAGGAUGGGCAGAGAGAAGGGGCCCAGGGUCGGGGGAGCGGGGGCCAGGCAUGCUGUAGGCCCAGGGGAAGUGGGGGGGCAGCCGGAAAGUGGGCACAGUGCUGACCCCUGCCGAGAGGGCUUGCUCAUACCCAGAAAGUACGAGUUUGGAGGACUCUGCCCCCAAACAGCUCAGGACCACCCCUACUGCUCUUCCCGGCUCCGACCUCUACCCAGGAAGAGCCCCUUAGCUACGACCCAGCCCAGAAGCAGAACUCCAGCUUCCUGCCCCGUCGUCCAGGGCCCGUUCUCCUUUUUAGUGCAAGAAAGACCUGAGAGCAGAGAAGGGCCACUCCAUCAGGAGGCCAGGUCCUGUCCAGGCAGCCCGACGACGCAUCACCCCUUCCCCUCCCCAGCCCCGCCCCACAGCUGGAGCUGGGACCCCACCCCCUCACUCAGGGCGGUGGGCUCUGUACACACCAAGGGGAACCGGCAGUGUCCAGGGCCUGACGGGUUCCCCAAGCACCACGCCGGUGGCCGGCGGCACAAAGCUGUUUCCAGUUCAUUUCCAGGAUGGCUGCAUGCCGCCCGUCAGGAGCGGGGCCUGGGAGAUGGCCUGGACUUUAAGCACCCCAUGAAUAAAUACAAUAUCAUGUGCGUAAGGAGCAGAGCAAGGAUC